UUCACCUCCUCGCGCUGCGCCGCCGGCUCCGGGGUGGGCGGGGGGAGAAGCGAGGGCGGAGAGGCAGGGCGGGGGCUGAGGCUGUUUAAUAAAAGAAGAACAUAGCUCAGCUGCUGUUUCAACAGGAUGGGUUCUAUCGUGUGGGAAUGUGGUUAAUCAGCUUGACACAUUAACCUAAUACAGCCUUCAUAAUGUGAAAAGAAAAGACAAGAUGUCCCAUCUGUCUCAAGUGUUCUGUCAGACUGAGUGAAUAAGACUCUGUCAGCACAAAUAGUAUUUCAGUUUUUGAAGAAGCUUAACAAGCAGCAAAAAUACUGGCAUUAAAGCCAGACCUUCAGUACAUGUAUAUCUGAAAGUGUACAUUGAAUAAUCUGACAGGCCUCAGUGACUGGCUCCCAUUCACAUGUGGAAGGAUGGCUACUUGCUUGAUGUUCUGCUGUCUUUUGUUCUUGGAAGUUUUGGUGGGGCAUACAAGUGGACACAGUUUAUUUUCUUGUGAGCCCAUCAUCUUGAGGAUGUGCCAAGACCUGCCUUACAAUACCACCUUUAUGCCUAAUCUUCUGAAUCAUUAUGACCAGCAAACUGCAGCAUUAGCAAUGGAGGUUUGACAACAAACUAUUGAUGAUUACUGUGUGUACAGUCUUUCAAUCAGUUUUGCACCAAAUGUGAUGCUUCCUGGAGUACCCAGGUUUGAGGCACCUUGCUACCACCUGCCCUUAGUGGGAGGAAAUC